rnacentral:rRNA from 1 species
GAUGAACGCUGGCGGCGUGCCUAAUACAUGCAAGUCGAGCGAACAGAUAAGGAGCUUGCUCCUUUGACGUUAGCGGCGGACGGGUGAGUAACACGUGGGUAACCUACCUAUAAGAUUGGGAUAACUUCGGGAAACCGGAGCUAAUACCGGAUAACAUUUGGAACCGCAUGGUUCUAAAGUGAAAGAUGGUUUUGCUAUCACUUAUAGAUGGACCCGCGCCGUAUUAGCUAGUUGGUAAGGUAACGGCUUACCAAGGCAACGAUACGUAGCCGACCUGAGAGGGUGAUCGGCCACACUGGAACUGAGACACGGUCCAGACUCCUACGGGAGGCAGCAGUAGGGAAUCUUCCGCAAUGGGCGAAAGCCUGACGGAGCAACGCCGCGUGAGUGAUGAAGGGUUUCGGCUCGUAAAACUCUGUUAUUAGGGAAGAACAAAUGUGUAAGUAACUGUGCACGUCUUGACGGUACCUAAUCAGAAAGCCACGGCUAACUACGUG